GGGACACGUGAAACCCUGUGGGAAGCAGGAGGGACCACCCUCCAAGGCUAAAUACUACCUAGUGACCGAUAGCGUAUAGUACCGUGAGGGAAAGGUGAAAAGAACCCCGGGAGGGGAGUGAAAUAGAACCUGAAACCCUGCACUUACAAGCUGUGGAAGCACAUUUCUUGUGUGACCGCGUACUUUUUGUAGAACGGGCCAACGAGUUACGUUAAGUAGCAAGGUUAAGCACUUAAGGUGCGGAGCCGUAGCGAAAGCGAG
rnacentral:rRNA from 1 species